GACGAACGCUGGCGGCGUGCUUAACACAUGCAAGUCGAACGGAAAGGCCCUGCUUUUGUGGGGUGCUCGAGUGGCGAACGGGUGAGUAACACGUGAGUAACCUGCCCUUGACUUUGGGAUAACUCCAGGAAACUGGGGCUAAUACCGGAUAGGAGCUCCUGCUGCAUGGUGGGGGUUGGAAAGUUUCGGCGGUUGGGGAUGGACUCGCGGCUUAUCAGCUUGUUGGUGGGGUAGUGGCUGACCAAGGCUUUGACGGGUAGCCGGCCUGAGAGGGUGACCGGCCACAAUGGGCCUGCGGUACGGACCAGACUCCUACGGUAGGCAGCAGUGGGGAAUAUUGCACAGUGGGCGGACGCCUGAGGCAGCAGCCCCGCGUGCGGGAUGACGUCCUUCGGGUGAUAAACCGCUUUCGCCUGAGACAAAGCGUGAGUGACGGUAAUGGGUAAAAAAGCACCGGCUAACUACGUG
rnacentral:rRNA from 1 species